rnacentral:rRNA from 1 species
CCUACGGGAGGCAGCAGUGAGGAAUAUUGGUCAAUGGACGAGAGUCUGAACCAGCCAAGUAGCGUGAAGGAUGACUGCCCUAUGGGUUGUAAACUUCUUUUAUAUGGGAAUAAAAUGUUCCACGUGUGGGAUUUUGUAUGUACCAUAUGAAUAAGGAUCGGCUAACUCCGUGCCAGCAGCCGCGGUAAUACGGAGGAUCCGAGCGGUAUCCGGAUUUAUUGGGUUUAAAGGGAGCGUAGGUGGAUUGUUAAGUCAGUUGUGAAAGUUUGCGGCUCAACCGUAAAAUUGCAGUUGAAACUGGCAGUCUUGAGUAGAGUAGAGGUGGGCGGAAUGCGUGGUGUAGCGGUGAAAUGCGUAGAUAUCACGAAGAAUUCCGAUUGCGAAGGCAGCUCACUGGACUGCAACUGACACUGAGGCGCGAAAGUGUGGGUAGCAAACAGGAUUAGAUACCCGAGUAGUC